CCUACGGGAGGCUGCAGUAAGGGAUAUUGGUCAAUGGGGGAAACCCUGAACCAGCAACGCCGCGUGAGGGAAGACGGUUUUCGGAUUUUAAACCUCUGUCCUCUGUGAAGUUGAUGACGGUAGCUGAGGCUGAAGCUCCGGCGAGCUACGUGCCAGCAGGCGCGGUAAUACGGAGGGAGGGAGCGUUGUCCGGAUUUACUGGGUGUAAAGGGUGCGUAGAGGGGUUGGCAAGUCAAGGGUGAAAUCCCCGGGCUCAACGUGGGAACUGCCUUUGAAACUGGCAAACUGGAGUGUGUGAGAGGAUAGUGGAAUUCGAGGUGUAGGAGUGAAAUGCGUAGAUAUCUGGAGGAACAGCAGUGGCGAAGGCGACUAACUGGCACAUAACUGACGCUGAGGAGCGAAAGCGUGGGUAGCAAACAGGAUUAGAUACCCCUGUAGUC
rnacentral:rRNA from 1 species